UUAAGAAGAAGAAGAAGAAGAAGAAGAAAAGAAGAAUCGUACAGAAAUUGAGGAAAGUGAGGAGAUAAACAAACAAACAAAAAAAUCGGAACGGAAGAAGCAAGCAAACGGGAAGAAGAGAAGAGAGUGAAGAAAUUUGAAACUCCGCUCCGGAAGCGAGAGUGUGAAGUAUAAGAAGAAGAUGGGGAAGAUACCUGGAGCAUGAUGUGCAGAAGUAAGCAAGCAAGUAAUUGGAAGAGGUAUUACAGAGAGUGGUGAAGGGAAGAGAUAGAUCUCUGCUGGAAUGAAAGGGAAGAAAGAAUCAGAGAAGUUUGAAGAAU
rnacentral:lncRNA from 1 species